GAUGAACGCUAGCGGCAGGCCUAACACAUGCAAGUCGAGGGGUAAGAAGAGCUUGCUUUUCUGAGACCGGCGCACGGGUGCGUAACGCGUAUACAAUCUACCUUGUACAGGGGGAUAGCCCAGAGAAAUUUGGAUUAAUACCUCAUAGUGUUAUUGAGUGGCAUCACUUGAUAACUAAAGUUCCAACGGUACAAGAUGAGUAUGCGUCCCAUUAGUUAGAUGGUAAGGUAACGGCUUACCAUGACAAUGAUGGGUAGGGGUCCUGAGAGGGAGAUCCCCCACACUGGUACUGAGACACGGACCAGACUCCUACGGGAGGCAGCAGUGAGGAAUAUUGGACAAUGGGGGCAACCCUGAUCCAGCCAUGCCGCGUGCAGGAUGACGGUCCUAUGGAUUGUAAACUGCUUUUAUACAGGAAGAGCCCCUUCUUUGCGAAGAAGACUGACGGUACUGUAAGAAUAAGGAUCGGCUAACUCCGUGCCAGCCGCCGCCGUAAAAC
rnacentral:rRNA from 1 species